rnacentral:rRNA from 1 species
GAUGAACGCUGGCGGCGUGCCUAAUACAUGCAAGUCGAGCGAACAGAUGAGGAGCUUGCUCCUCUGACGUUAGCGGCGGACGGGUGAGUAACACGUGGAUAACCUACCUAUAAGACUGGGAUAACUACGGGAAACCGGAGCUAAUACCGGAUAAUAUAUUGAACCGCAUGGUUCAAUAGUGAAAGACGGUUUUGCUGUCACUUAUAGAUGGAUCCGCGCCGCAUUAGCUAGUUGGUAAGGUAACGGCUUACCAAGGCAACGAUGCGUAGCCGACCUGAGAGGGUGGUCGGCCACACUGGAACUGAGACACGGUCCAGACUCCUACGGGAGGCAGCAGUAGGGAAUCUUCCGCAAUGGGCGAAAGCCUGACGGAGCAACGCCGCGUGAGUGAUGAAGGUCUUCGGAUCGUAAAACUCUGUUAUUAGGGAAGAACAAAUGUGUAAGUAACUAUGCACGUCUUGACGGUACCUAAUCAGAAAGCCACGGCUAACUACGUG